rnacentral:rRNA from 1 species
AUUGAACGCUGGCGGCAUGCCUUACACAUGCAAGUCGAACGGCAGCACGGGGGCGAACCCUGUGGCGAGUGGCGAACGGGUGAGUAAUGCAUCGGAACGUGCCCAGUAGUGGGGGAGUAACUAGUCGAAAGAUUAGCUAAUACCGCAUACGACCUAUGGGUGGAAAGACGGGGGAGUUCGCAAGAACCUACGCGCUAUCGGAGCGGCCGAUGUCUGAUUAG